GGUGAAUGAUUGUUUUUCAAAUACAUAUAGUACAUUAUAACAUUUCAAACUUAUAGGAAAAAGUUUGCUUAUUAAUAUUAUCAUAAAUUAAAAAAAAACGUUGUUUGUUUACCCUUUACUUAUAACUAUAUAUAUAUGUAUAUUGAAAUAUUACAAAUUAAUAAAGUGCUGUGGGAAUAAAAUUAUUCAUGCAGUUGUUUUUUUAAAUACACAAUGACUAAAAGUAAAGGGUAAAUUUGAUUCUGCCAGCAAAAACUUUAGAAGGGACAUUACAUAACACUAAAGUUUUUAAGAGAUUGUGAUUUGUGCAACAAAAUACUCCAAUUACGAUUUUAAAUUAUAUUUUUUACAUGUUGAACUAAUUUGUUCAACUUUAAUUUAUUCAGUAAAUAACUUAAUUUUAAUACAAGUGAGAGGUGUCACAAUGAAGAGUUCACCUUUUAAUAAUUAUAUUUUGGCCUGGGGUGAUUUAGCCCAACAUAAUGUAGGUAUUAUUCUACAAUCUCAGCUUGUUAUCUUUUUAUAAUUUUUUUAGAAAAUGUAUUACUUUUUUCAUCAAUCGGAGUAAAGUCCUUUCAGAAUAAAAAAAA